AAUGAGGUGCCUGACGAAAAGGUUUAUUUUGAUAGAAUAAGUAAUGUGUUAAUAACACCUUUAUUG
rnacentral:tRNA from 1 species